AACGCGAAGAACCUUACCUGGGUUUGAAAUGCAGUGGUAAGCCUCAGAGAUGAGGUCCCCUCUUCGGAGGCCGCUGCAUAGGUGCUGCAUGGCUGUCGUCAGCUCGUGUCGUGAGAUGUUGGGUUAAGUCCCGCAACGAGCGCAACCCUUGUCCAUAGUUGCUAACAGGUCAUGCUGAGAACUCUAUGGAGACUGCCGGUGAUAAACCGGAGGAAGGUGGGGAUGACGUCAAGUCCUCAUGGCCUUUAUGUCCAGGGCUACACACGUGCUACAAUGGACGGUACAAAGGGUUGCAAAGCCGCAAGGUGGAGCUAAUCCCAAAAAAGCCGUUACUCAGUUCGGAUUGUUCUCUGCAACUCGAGAGCAUGAAGCUGGAAUCGCUAGUAAUCGCGGAUCAGAACGCCGCGGUGAAUACGUUCCCGGGCCUUGUACACACCGUAGUAC
rnacentral:rRNA from 1 species